rnacentral:tRNA from 1 species
GCUGGUGUACAGCUCAGCGGUAGAGUAUGUGCUUAGCAUGCAUGAAGCCCUGGGUUUGAUUCCUGACACCACCA